UGCCAGCCGCCGCGGUAAUACGGAGGGAGCUAGCGUUGUUCGGAAUUACUGGGCGUAAAGCGCACGUAGGCGGCUUUGUAAGUUAGAGGUGAAAGCCUGGAGCUCAACUCCAGAAUUGCCUUUAAGACUGCAUCGCUUGAAUCCAGGAGAGGUGAGUGGAAUUCCGAGUGUAGAGGUGAAAUUCGUAGAUAUUCGGAAGAACACCAGUGGCGAAGGCGGCUCACUGGACUGGUAUUGACGCUGAGGUGCGAAAGCGUGGGGAGCAAACAGGAUUAGAUA
rnacentral:rRNA from 1 species